GACGAACGCUGGCGGCGUGCCUAAUACAUGCAAGUUGAGCGAUGAAGAUUGGUGCUUGCACCAAUUUGAAGAGCAGCGAACGGGUGAGUAACGCGUGGGGAAUCUGCCUUUGAGCGGGGGACAACAUUUGGAAACGAAUGCUAAUACCGCAUAACAACUUUAAACAUAAGUUUUAAGUUUGAAAGAUGCAAUUGCAUCACUCAAAGAUGAUCCCGCGUUGUAUUAGCUAGUUGGUGAGGUAAAGGCUCACCAAGGCGAUGAUACAUAGCCGACCUGAGAGGGGGAUCGGCCACAUUGGGACUGAGACACGGCCCAAACUCCUACGGGAGGCAGCAGUAGGGAAUCUUCGGCAAUGGACGAAAGUCUGACCGAGCAACGCCGCGUGAGUGAAGAAGGUUGUCGGAUCGUAAAACUCGGUUGGUAGAGAAGAACGUUGGUGAGAGUGGAAAGCUCAUCAAGUGACGGUAACUACCCAGAAAGGGACGGCUAACUACGUG
rnacentral:rRNA from 1 species